rfam:Schistosoma mattheei strain Denwood, Zambia genome assembly, scaffold: SMTD_scaffold0000449
AUCUAUCUAACGAGUCCCAAAUAGAAUGAAACUUGAGUCUUGGAU